rnacentral:rRNA from 1 species
UACGUAGGGGGCAAGCGUUGUCCGGAAUCAUUGGGCGUAAAGCGCGUGUAGGCGGCCAGGUAAGUCCGUUCUGAAAGCCCGGGGCUCAACCCCGGGAGGCGGAUGGAUACUGCUUGGCUCGAGUCCGGAAGAGGCGAGUGGAAUUCCCGGUGUAGCGGUGAAAUGCGUAGAUAUUGGGAGGAACACCAGUGGCGAAGGCGGCUCACUGGACCGGUACUGACGCUGAGGCGCGAAAGCGUGGGGAGCAAACAGG